GAUGAACGCUGGCGGCGUGCCUAAUACAUGCAAGUCGAACGGGUGUAGCAAUACACUAGUGGCGAACGGGUGAGUAACACGUUGGUGACCUGCCCUAAAGAGGGGAAUACCACUUCGAAAGGAGUGACAAAACCGCAUAAGCUGAUGCUAGUUAGAGAAGCAUUAGUAAAAGAGAAAUCUACUUUAGGAGGGGCCUGCGGCCCAUCAGCUAGUUGGUGAGGUAAAAGCCCACCAAGGCGAAGACGGGUAGGGGACCUGAGAGGGUGAUCCCCCACAAUGGAACUGAAACACGGUCCAUACACCUGCGGGUGGCAGCAGUAGGGAAUAUUGCUUAAUGGGCGAAAGCCUGAAGCAGCAACGCCGCGUGAACGAAGAAGGCCUCGGUCGUAAGUUACUUUACGUUGGGUAGUGAGGAAGGACGAGUACCACGAGAAUAAAGUACUCGGCGUAACUAACGUGCCAGCAGCCGCGGUAAAACGUACUACUG
rnacentral:rRNA from 1 species